GGGAGGUAGUGACAAUAAAUAACAAUACGGGGUUCUUUUGGAUCUCGUAAUUGGAAUGAGUACAAUUUAAAUCUCUUAACGAGAACCAAUUGGAGGGCAAGUCUGGUGCCAGCAGCCGCGGUAAUUCCAGCUCCAAUAGCGUAUAUUAAAGUUGUUGCAGUUAAAAAGCUCGUAGUUGAAUUUCGGGAUUAGUAGGUUGGUCGUGCCUCUGGUAUGUACUGGCUUUACUGGUUCCUCCUUCUUGAAGAACUGUAAUGUCAUUAAUUUGGUGUUGCAGGGAAACAGGACUGUUACUUUGAAAAAUUAGAGUGUUUAAAGCAGGCUAACGCUUGAAUACAUUAGCAUGGAAUAAUGAAAUAGGACGUUUGAUCCUAUUUUGUUGGUUUCUAGGAUUGACGUAAUGAUUAAUAGGGAUAGUUGGGA
rnacentral:rRNA from 1 species